UCUUGCAAUUGGAUUGAGAACAACGUACAACUCUUAUCGAUAAGCCAUUGGAGGGCAAGUCUGGUGCCAGCAGCCGCGGUAAUUCCAGCUCCAAUAGCGUAUAUUAACGUUGUUGCAGUUAAAAAGCUCGUAGUUGAAGUGAGGGAGUGUGUGUUCAUGAGAGCUAGUCUCGAGUGUUCACAACCUCCCCCCUCCAAUCGGUGUAGUGGGGUAUUCAGUUAUUUCACUACUCCUUUGGUCGUUUACUGUGAGAAAAUUAGAGUGUUCAAAGCGGGCGUUUGUUUGAAUAGAUUAGCAUGGAAUAAUGAUUGAAGGCUUUCGUGUUCGAUUUGAUUGGUUUGUUCAUGGAAGCAAGGUUAAAAGGAACAGUUGGGGGUAUUCAUAUUCACUAGUUAGAGGUGAAAUUCUCGGAUUUAUGGAAGAUGAACAAGUGCGAAAGCAA
rnacentral:rRNA from 1 species